CCUGCAGUGGGUACGGGGCAGACUAGAGUGCGGUAGGGGAGAUUAGGAAUUCCCUGGUGUAGCGGUGGAAUGCGCAGAUAUCAGGAGGAACACCGAUGGCGAAGGCAGAUCUCUGGGCCGUAACUGACGCUGAGGAGCGAAAGCGUGGGGAGCAAACAGGCUUAGAUACCCUGGUAGUCCACCCCGUAAACGUUGGGAACUAGUUGUGGGGUCCUUUCCACGGAUUCCGUGACGCAGCUAACGCAUUAAGUUCCCCGCCUGGGGAGUACGGCCGCAAGGCUAAAACUCAAAGGAAUUGACGGGGACCCGCACAAGCGGCGGAGCAUGCGGAUUAAUUCGAUGCAACGCGAAGAACCUUACCAAGGCUUGACAUACACGAGAACGGGCCAGAAAUGGUCAACUCUUUGGACACUCGUGAACAGGUGGUGCAUGGUUGUCGUCAGCUCGUGUCGUGAGAUGUUGGGUUAAGUCCCGCAACGAGCGCAACCCUCGUUCUAUGUUGCCAGCACGUAAUGGUGGGAACUCAUGGGAUACUGCCGGGGUCAACUCGGAGGAAGGUGGGGAUGACGUCAAAUCAUCAUGCCCCUUAUGUCUUGGGCUUCACGCAUGCUACAAUGGCCGGUACAAAGGGCUGCAAUACCGUGAGGUGGAGCGAAUCCCAAAAAGCCGGUCCCAGUUCGGAUUGAGGUCUGCAACUCGACCUCAUGAAGUCGGAGUCGCUAGUAAUCGCAGAUCAGCAACGCUGCGGUGAAUACGUUCCCGGGUCUUUGUACACACCGCCCGUCAAGUCAUGAAAGUCGGUAUCACCUGAAUCAC
rnacentral:rRNA from 1 species